rnacentral:lncRNA from 1 species
CCUUGGCGCACGAGCUGGUGAACGACGAUGGCGAGGAGAAGGUGACCUUCGUGAUCCAGAUGAUGGUGAUUUUCUGCGAAGAGGAGAUCUCCUGCGUGAAGGUGGGGACGGAUACCUUGACAGUGAAGGUGACCCUCUCCUUGAAUAAGGUGAUCUCCUUCUAGAAAUUGAAGGGGUACUUCUUGGAGAAUGCCUUCGGGGAGAAGCAGAGCGUCUAGGUGAAGUUGAACGCCGUGAUGAUCUACGAUGUCUAUCAAUGGAGCGGGAACGCCUGGAAGGAGAUCGAGAACGCUUUCUGGGAGAAAUAGAUCUUUGCCUACCAUGGGGUGACAAAGAUAUGCUCCUGGAUCUGCGACUUCCCC